UACGUAGGUGGCAAGCGUUGUCCGGAUUUAUUGGGUUUAAAGGGUGCGUAGGCGGCCCUAUAAGUCAGUGCUGAAAUAUCCCGGCUUAACCGGGAGGGUGGCAUUGAUACUGUAGGGCUUGAGUAAAGUUGAGGUUGGCGGAAUUGACGGUGUAGUGGUGAAAUGCUUAGAUAUCGUCAAGAACACCUAUUGCGAAGGCAGCUAACUAAGCUUUAACUGACGCUGAGGCACGAAAGUGUGGGGAUCAAACAGG
rnacentral:rRNA from 1 species